rnacentral:rRNA from 1 species
UCAGGAUGAACGCUAGCGAUAGGCCUAACACAUGCAAGUCGAGGGGCAGCAUAGAGUAGCAAUACUUGAUGGCGACCGGCGCACGGGUGAGUAACACGUAUGCAACCUACCUACACCAGGGGAAUAACCCGGAGAAAUUCGGACUAAUACCGCAUAAUACAGGGGUGCCGCAUGGCAAUAUUUGUUAAAGAUUUAUCGGAUGUAGAUGGGCAUGCGUUCCAUUAGCUGGUUGGUGAGGUAACGGCUCACCAAGGCAACGAUGGAUAGGGGAACUGAGAGGUUUGUCCCCCACACUGGAACUGAGACACGGACCAGACUCCUACGGGAGGCAGCAGUGAGGAAUAUUGGUCAAUGGACGAGAGUCUGAACCAGCCAAAUCGCGUGAAGGAAGAACCUGCCCUACGGGUUGUAAACUUCUUUUGUACAGGAAUAAAAGACAUUACGUGUAAUGUAUUGCAUGUACUGUACGAAUAAGCAUCGGCUAACUCCGUGCCAGCAGCUGC